GUUAAUGUGGUUGUCUGCCUCAUUAUACAUAUAAAGGCUCAAAACAAUCACAAAAUAGUAAGAAAGGCAGUGGAGUUUAGGCAAGAUUAGCUCCAGGCAUUCUAGUAAAAUGAAUAGGAGUUUAUUGUACCAGGAGAUGAAAACCAGUGAGGUAGAUUUGAGGUGCUGGAUGCCAGGGUAACAAAAGCAAAAUGCAAGGAACCAAUAAAACUGUGUAAGCUGCAUGAGUCAAAAGCAAAAUAGGAUGGAUCUCUAAGGGCAGUGAAGUGGCAUAAAUAACAUUAAGCCUGUUUUCCAAUGGAGCUGUGACCAUUUGCUGGCACUAAUGCUCUUCUAAGUUUUGGGCAGCAGCCUUAUUGCCUGUGCUGUAACUGUGGGUUAGCAGGGCUGAACCAGCUCUGGCCUUGUGUGUCUGCUGAGGUGCUGUGGCAACCAGGGAUACAAUAGGCUGUUCUACAUGUUAAUCACUAUUCCAUGAUGAUUUUUGCAGCCAUUUUGAUGGGAUGCAGUCAGUAGGAAGAAGGGAACGAAAGGACACCAACGCUUUCUGAAAUAGAGCAGAAAAUUGAGGUCAUUUUCUUCUUCCAAUCCUGUCCUCCUCAACACUGCACACUCAAAUGAGCAGAAGUGUUCACAUUUCCGGAACCUGGUCAGGUUUCUAUUGUCAGUGAGUCAGCUUCAGAAAGAGGACAGAGACACUCUACUGCCUACAAUAAGAGCUCGCAGCCAGAAGUCCCCAGUGCUGUGCCUGUACAAGCCCAGGAGGAGAUGGUUGUCCUCAGGUGCCUGCCCUGGCCCUGCCCUAUGCUGUCCCCAGGAGACCAGGUUAAGCAUUACUCAGAUUGCCUGAUUAGGAGGAAAACAACAGUCCAUUUGAAUUCUAGUUAAUACAUACAACAAAAUCCCUGAGCAGAAGAGCAGGGAAGGAAGAUGACACACAUGAAGUUAGACUGCAGUGCUCUCCUCAAAGGACCAGAAGGGAGUUCAAAAUUUAUUUUCUUGCUUUUGUUUAUACUCACUGGCUUCCUGAGAUAAGAGAAAUACAAAAUAAAGAAUGAAAAUUGCUGACCA
rnacentral:lncRNA from 1 species